UGCUAAGAGAAUGGAAUUACAGGGAAUAACUAUUUAAAACUUAAAAAUUAAAUUUAUUUUAAUUUGUGAAGAAACAAUUAUUAGAAUUAAGGACAAGAAGACCCUAAGAAUUUUAAAAUAAUUAAUUUCUUGCAAGAAAUUAAUUAUUUUUAGUUGGGGCAACUAGAAAAUAUUAUAAACUUUUUUAAUACAAAAUGAUCCAUUAUUAAUGAUAAUUUGGAAAAAAUACUCUAGGGAUAACAGCGUAAA
rnacentral:rRNA from 1 species